rnacentral:rRNA from 1 species
CCCUCUUUCUCCCGCUUUUUUCGGAUUCAUUGGGCGUAAAGGGUGCGUAGGCGGCGCGGUAAGUCGGGUGUGAAAUCUUGGAGCUUAACUCCGAAACUGCAUUCGAUACUGCCGUGCUUGAGGACUGGAAAGGAGACUGGAAUUUACGGUGUAGCGGUGAAAUGCGUAGAUAUCGUAAGGAAGACCAGUGGCGAAGGCGGGUCUCUGGACAGUUCCUGACGCUGAGGCACGAAGGUCAGGGGAGCAAACGGGA